AAGUGCAGCAGUGAGGAGCUCACCAUGGAGUUCUGGUGGUGGGAUAUGGUUUUGAAGGAGAGGAUGUAGAUGGCAAUAAAUUCUGGAUUGUCAAGAACAGCUGGACCGAGAAAUGGGGAGACAAAGGCUACAUCUACAUGGCCAAAGACAGGAAGAACCACUGUGGCAUCGCCACGGCAGCCAUUUACCCACUGUGCUAGUGUUCUGUAAAGUUCUCGAACA